rnacentral:rRNA from 1 species
GUGUCAGCAGCCGCGGUAAUACGAAGGGGGCUAGCGUUGUUCGGAAUCACUGGGCGUAAAGCGCACGUAGGCGGACGUUUAAGUCAGGGGUGAAAUCCCAGGGCUCAACCCUGGAACUGCCCUUGAUACUGGACGUCUCGAGUCCGGGAGAGGUGAGUGGAACUCCGAGUGUAGAGGUGAAAUUCGUAGAUAUUCGGAAGAACACCAGUGGCGAAGGCGGCUCACUGGCCCGGUACUGACGCUGAGGUGCGAAAGCGUGGGGAGCAAACAGGAUUAGAUACCCCCGUAGUCC